AGGGCACCACCAGGAGUGGAGCCUGCGGCUUAAUUUGACUCAACACGGGAAAACUUACCCGGCCCGGACACUGGAAGGAUUGACAGAUUGAGAGCUCUUUCUUGAUUCAGUGGGUGGUGGUGCAUGGCCGUUCUUAGUUGGUGGAGCGAUUUGUCUGGUUAAUUCCGAUAACGAACGAGACUCUAGCCUACUAAAUAGACUGUUCAGCUUUAUAGCCGGAAUCACCGGGUGCGUGCCUCUCGGGGUGCGUAUUCGGCUCUGGCGACGCUGGCAGUGCUUCUUAGAGGGACAGGCGGCGGUUCAGCCGCACGAAACGGAGCAAUAACAGGUCUGUGAUGCCCUUAGAUGUCCGGGGCUGCACGCGCGCUACACUGAAGUGAUCAGCGUGCAAUUCAAGUUUGGUGAUCUGUCAAGAUUGCCCAACCCGUUGAACCUUCUUCGUGAUUGGGAUAGGGGAUUGUAAUUAUUCCCCUUGAACGAGGGAUUCCCAGUAAGCGCAAGUCAUAAAGCUUGCGUUGA
rnacentral:rRNA from 1 species